GCCAGAAGCCAUAUCACCUUGCAGUUCAACAGUCCACUGAAGCUAAGCAGAUUGAGCCUGGUAAGUACCUGGAUGGGAGACCUAAUGCUAAAAACUAAGGUUGCUGCUGGAA
rnacentral:rRNA from 1 species